UGAGCAAUCUGCCCUUCUCUUUGGAAUAAGCGUUGGAAACGACGUCUAAUGCCGAAUACGACCUCCUUUCGCAUGAUCGGAGGUGGAAAGCUCCGGCGGAGAAGGAUGAGCUCGCGGCCUAUCAGCUAGUUGGUGUGGGUAACGCCCACCAAGGCGACGACGGAUAGCCGGCCUGAGAGGGUGACCGGCCACACUGGGACUGAGACACGGCCCAGACUCCGUACGGGAGG
rnacentral:rRNA from 1 species